rnacentral:tRNA from 2 species
GGCCUCAUCGUCUAAUGGCUAGGACGGCGCCCUUUCACGGCGUAAAUAGGGGUUCGAUUCCCCUUGAGGCUACAA